CACCCUUAAAACUAAGGGUAAAAGUAUACAUAUUUUAAUUGGGGCAACAUAGGAACAGAAAAAUUUCCUAUAAUAAACAUUUAAUAUAUUAAAAACAAAAAUCCUCAAAGAGAUAAAGAAAAACUACUUAGGGAUAACAGCGUAAUUUUCUAAAGAGAC
rnacentral:rRNA from 1 species